rnacentral:lncRNA from 1 species
CUUUAUUUUCAUUGUUUCCAUACUACAUUAUAAAUGUUGCAGGUCACAGCUAACCAAUGAAAUCCCUAGUUAAAUAGGCAAACAUGUGCACCAUAACAUCACUGGGAACGUCAUGCAAACAUUGACAUAACUUCACUAAGAACAAUACCUUUUAGGUACGAACAGGCCACCAACAUGUUGCAGCAGACCAAACCAAUUAUUGCAAUACCAAUAAUUUAAUGUUUCACAUGUUCAACUUAAUGCUAAAAAGAGAAAAUAAUGUAAAAUCAGAGCUUCGGUUGAAUCUGCUUGAGCUCCCUCGUAAUCUUCAUGUUAUCUUGCAACAUCAUGUUGGCUACCGUUGUUGUUCCUUGAGCUAGUUGCACUCUAUGGCAGAUGGGAACCACGCACCUGCGAAAUCCAUAUUGCGAAAGGUUGAAUUAGAUGUUGCGGACGUACAAAUACAAUUUCUAUCUACUAUGUAAGCCCCAAGGAUUGAACGGACUUUGAAAAAUCCUCAAAAAACCUACAUCAUACGGAUCCUAUCGAGUAGAUGCAUAUGGGUCGAAAACCACUAACCUGUGGUGGAAAUUCAAACGGCAAUUGGUGUGAAGCAACCGCACCCCCUAAUGCUCCUGCAACAUGGUGAGAUUGCAGCCUUGAUGCAGAGCUCAAGUCCCUAUGGACGCAGCUCAAAUCCUGAGUGGACAGACACUAAUGGUGGUGGAUCCCUAGGGUUCUUUGCAACAAUUUGUGGUGGUUUGUCGAGGGGGGGGGUCGAUUUUCUAGAGGAGAUGCGACAUUUUUCACAAGUUUUUGGUCUCGCAGCAGCGGAUUUCGUCUAGGGCAUGGCGCUUGCCCUAGAGCUCGUGCCGUGGGAGGAGGAACGAAGAAGAACACGUGCAAAUAGGUUGGGGACGUGAAUGUUGCAUGCAACAUUAAAACAGCGGGUGUGAUGUUGCGGCGGGAGUUCUCCCAGGCUGCGUCACCGUCCGAAGCUAGCGCCCGGAUCGGAUGUCUGGGCGCGAGUAGGUCUGUAGUGUUUUUAGAUCAACUAAAUAAUUGCAUGCCAUUUAUUUCAUUUCUCUCCCCCUUACAUGCCAUGCCAUUCUAGUUCAUAUUUUGUUUUGUCGGCUCACUCAAUGGCUCCAGACGAGUGGAACUUGCAGCCCUACGCAUGGAAUAAUUAAACAAAGGCUUACCCAAAAAAACAUAGAAUGUGUGCCGUAAACACUUUUUUUCUGUUUGGCCGAAGAUUCAUGGAAACAAAAUAUUUGGAUUGGACACAUGGAAAUAAGGACAUCAGGCAAAAAACGUUGUUAAAAAGAAUUCAUUGGAAUAUUUAUUGAUAUACAAUGAAUGAAUGGGGUAGAUUAGAAUUUACUAAUAAAUUCGGUAUCAAUUCAAUGAUGGCAUGUCAUAAACCUGUCUAAAGUACAUUGUUAAUUAGUGCUAUGUUUUUUCUCAAGGAUGUGACUCUGCGUUGUAUGUUAUCUUCUAUGUUUCCAUGAAUUAUUAGUGUUAGCGGAUGUUUGUUGUGUUACACCCACCUGAGAGUGAUGUACUUAUUGUUAAGUUCUUCUAUUUACUACUGCUCGGAAAGGUAGUAUCGUCUAAGAUCUCUACAAAACUCACCCAUCAUUGUAUUCCAUAAGAUCGCUCGAAGCCUUAUCUGUUCCAAACUAGCUGAUGCUUGGGUAAUCUUGGGAUCAUCAAAAGCGGCAGCACUAUGUUUGGGUGCAUUUCUUUGUUACCUGAUCCUCAAAGCAAGAUUUGAGUUCGUGCCUAACCAACCACCACCGCUGGUCUAGAACAACACCGACGAGGCCUCCACAACUUCGACGACAACCAUCAAAAGGCAACCGAAGAUGAUGUUGAGAUGGGCUAUAAGGUCACCUGAUUCCGAACAAUCUAAUUUUAUUGCUUGUUUUAAGGUUUAGAAAAUGAGUUUUCUAUAUAAGUUUUAAAUGAUAUUUUCUAUUUAAGGUUUAAAGGAUUAUACUAUAAUAUAAAACUAAGUGUUGAGAGGGUGCACAUGUCCACCACUCACCAUAAUUAACCAAAACGAACCUACUAUAUCCAGAUACAUAGCAAAAUGAAUAGUAAUUUAGGUUUCGUUUCUGGUUUGACUAUACUCCAUAGCAAGCAGGGAUCAUGCUCGUGUUAUAAAUACUCUAGUUCAGCAGUAUUUCAAAGCUUUUUACUAACUUUUUCCCAAAAAAUAUUUACCCGUACUUCUUUUCUCAACAUCUUACGAACAAUAAUCACCAGCAACACAGAAAAUCCCCUCUUGAUCAACAUGCUGAUACUCCACGCUCCCCAAGACGCCAGCCCAUGUGAGCGUGGUACAAUUGUAUGCAGCAUGGCUGGCCGCCACGGGGUUGUUGGUACACGUCCAUGUCCAUAUAGCAGCACCGGCCGGGUCUACGGCGCUUUUGUUGGCGGAGCGGGCGGGGGGUCGGUCUCUUCGUUCUUUCCGAGCUUCAAAUUGCGCUGCGCGGGCGCAUCGCUAGCUGGCGACCAGAGGCGCUGUCCUCGUCCUGCCUGCGCAACGGUUCUUUAUUCCCUGAUCGGAGCGUCGGUUCGCGCGUGGGAUUAGUCGAUCUGAUCUCUCACGGGUCACCAGUCAUCACCCUCGGCCAUUGUUAAAAGAAACUCCCAGUCAUCACCCUCUACUCGCUAGGCCGCGGCUUAUGACUGAAGCGAGCCUCGUUAGGGAUUGGGAUCGCCAUGCGUGGCCGUUGUGAGAACACUCUGCAGUCAAUGACGCGUACGUGACCGGCAAUUAUGGGCGCUUCGGUCGGUGAGGUCAACUGCAGGGCAUUGACUGAUGUGGUAUAAACCGAGCCGAUCUCCCCUGUCCUCCUCCACAUUCUUCGCCGGCUACCCCCUGUGGCCGAGCUCGCAGCUAUAAACUGAGCAGUCUGGAGCGAGAUCGGAGUGAGGAAAGGAAAGGGAGAAUAAUGGCGGCGGGAGGCAGACCAGUCACCUGUUGCUGCGGCGCCGUGCUGCUCGCCGCGGCGCUGCUGCUCUCCGCACCGGACGCCACAGGUUGUUGCUUCCCUCCUCCGAUCCACCUCACUCUCGCAGAGAUUUUGCUCCUGCCUUUAAAUUGGCCGUGACCAAAAUUUGGUGGGGGCAACUUGGUGCUCAAACUGAACGCACUGUGCCCUUUUCAUAUGCUGUAGCAUCCAUGCUUCAAAAUUUGGGGUUUGUCUCUGAUGGAGACCCUUCGUGUUUCCUUUGCAGAGGCUUAUGAUUCCGUAGAUCCAAACGGCAACAUCACCAUAAAAUGGGAUGUUAUGCAAUGGACUCCUGAUGGAUAUGUUGUAAGUACCAUCCCCACAUCAACAGUUGUAUCCCUUUCACCUUCAAGUUCAACCUGCUAGUUAGUAAUAGGCUGUUGAUCCUCUACAUUGAAUAGCUAGGCCGGUUUGAUUAGCACAAUACAAACCAUGUAGCACUGAUGUUGUCAUAAAUCAGAAACAUACAGUACAGAUAAGAAGAAUAUAUAGCAUAUCUGGAUCAUCAUUUCCAGUAAAAUGUCUUGUGCAGGCUGUUGUUACAAUGUACAACUACCAACAAUUACGGCACAUCGGGCCACCUGGGUGGCAGCUGGGGUGGACAUGGACCAAGGAGGAGGUCAUCUGGUCGAUGGUUGGGGCGCAGACCACCGAACAGGGUGACUGCUCGAGAUUCGAGGACAACAUCCCCCACAGCUGCGAGAAAGAUCCCGUGGUCGUCGAUUUACUUCCGGACGCUCCAUACGACAUGCAGAUCGCCAAUUGCUGCAAAGCAGGGGUGAUAAGUACGUUCAAUCAGGACCCGGCAAAUGCUGUUGCCUCCUUCCAGCUCAGUGUAGGUCUUUCUGAGACUACCACUAAGGCCGUUAGGGUGCCAAGGAACUUCACUCUUAAGACUCCAGGUCCUGGGUACACAUGUGGGCGUGCCAUUGUUGGCAGGCCGACAAGGUUUUUCACCCCGGAUGGGCGCAGGGCAACCCAAGCUCUUAGUAAGUUGCUCAUCUAUUGGACUUUACAUUUUGCUUGCCAUCAGUUGCUUCUAAAAUUGUAGAAAUUAGUUACAAGGUAAACCAUAGUAGCCCUUCUUUUAAGUUUUAAUCAUGAUUGCGAGAAAAUUGGCGUCACAGCACUGUUGUAUACAAGUGAAAAUGCAAGAGGCAUUGCUCUGAAAUGGGAAAAGGUUCACGAGGAGUUUUUUUUUUUACGACAGGUUACUGCUAGGUUCCACGGAUUGUCUCCGUUUCAGUUAAUUUUCUCUCUAGUAAAUAAUGUAUUUUAAAUCCAUAGAAUCAUCAUAAGGUUCCACACAAGUUGUGUUGCAUAAGUUUUAUUUCAGUGGAGUUUAUUAACUUGAUGUGUUUUAACACAGACAUUUUAUAUCUACAGUGACAUGGAAUGUUACUUGCACCUAUUCUCAGUUUCUUGCUCAGAAGACUCCAUCCUGCUGUGUAUCUCUCUCAUCCUCCUACAACAGCACAACCGUGGACUGCCCAACAUGCUCUUGUGGCUGCCAAAACCCAAAAGGGACAAACUGUGUGAAGUGAGUCGACUGUUUAUUUCUACUCUUAAAUCUUUGUAUUCUCCCUGAUGUUAACAUUCCAUUCUUUUUCUCUGCAAAUGUUCUAAUAAUAAGUUGGUGCAUUUCACAGUAAGGAUUCACCUCAUCUACCAUCUGCCAUUGACGGCCCUGGCAAAUGGACUGGCCAGCCUCUCGUCGAGUGCACUUCCCACAUGUGCCCGGUAAGAAUCAACUGGCACGUGAAGCAGAACUUCAAGGACUACUGGAGGGUGAAGAUCACCAUCACAAACUUCAACUUCCGCAUGAACUACACGGAGUGGAACUUAGCCGUUCAGCAUCCAAACUUGGACAAUAUCACCCAGCUGUUCGGCCUCAACUACAAACCAUUGACCCCAUACGGCGCCGGCAUAAGUAAGCAAACAUUGAUAGCCUUUCAUAGAAAGAUUAUGAACCUUCCCCUUUUUUAUCUUUCUGAUGUAGUUUUUCUUGGACCCUUUUCAGAUGACACGGCAAUGCUCUGGGGUGUAAAACCCUACAACGAUGUGCUGAUGCAAGCCGGCAAUAAGAUUGGGAGUGUGCAGGGCGAACUGCUUCUCCGCAAGGACUCCCAGACUUUCACCUUCGGAAAGGGAUGGGCCUUCCCACGCCGUGUGUACUUGAACGGCGAUAACUGUGUCAUGCCAGCUCCUGAAAAUUAUCCGUCGUUGCCGAAAGAACCAUCCGGGUGACCAUGGUUGAUUGUCAUUUCCACAGAAUAAACGUUAUGAGCAGGCUUGAUCGCAUAGAUCGUUUGUACUUAGAAAAUGAAAGGCUACUGCUGGCUGCGCCAGAACUCGGUGGCCUACGGGUUAUGAUUUACGCUGUGACUUGAAUAAGUGAUGAGUUCAUCAUCGAUUAACCAGCUGCAGCAGGAAGUUUGAUGAUGUGAAUCUGUGUGGUUGGAUGAUUGGAUCGAUGGAUGCAAAGCCAUCUCUUGGGCCCAAAGGUAAACAAACCGAGUGGUCGUUCUUGGGCUCUGUUGCCAGCCCACACCUUCUUGCCACCAUCCCGCACAGCUACUGCCUCAGAAGCCAUCAGAACAUCUUCCAGGUGAUCAUACCAUUGGGCCCGAGCACAGAUCAGCUCGCCAUGCUCGUCUCUCACCACAGCACCUGUAGCAGCUCCAUUUCCUCUCUCCCUGUAGAAAGCCGCAUCUGCAUUAAUUUUGACUGCACCCGGUGUUGGCUUUUUCCAGGAGACUCUAGUUCUAGUGACCUGCAUAGGUUUCUGAUGUAUCUGCAACAGGUCCUCAAUCAUUUUGGUUGCAUAAUGCGCCGCAGCAUAAGGGCUCCACGCUGGCUUACCAUGUUGUCUUGCAUUUCUACCAGUCCAAAGUGACCAGCAUCCGCACAUGUAGAGAGUCAGCUCCUCCUCCGAGCAUACACCUCCCACCAGCAGGUCCUUCGCCCAAGUGAGAGGAUGCAGCAUUGGCAUCUUCCUGCCCGUCAUCCCUUUGAUGCACUCCCACUCCCAGAAACGUAGUGCAUAUGUGCACUCAAACAUCGAAUGACAAACCGCCUCCGAUGAAUGGCCACAGUCUGCACAAAAACUUUCCCUCGCAACGUGACGUCGGUGCAAGACUGCCUUUGCCUAGCUAAGCUGUCCACAUUCCCCCGGCAUUCCUUCCACUAGCUGCCAUGCGGACCCCACCGCGGAUCGGUUUUCCCAGCUACAAGCUCCACUCAUUCCAUGCUUCCGUUGGGAAAGAAAUGCAACACAUGGAGGUUGUUAGAGGAGCCGGGCUAUAGACUAGUACAGCUGGAGAUCUUGACGCCGAUACCGAUUAGUUAAUUAAUUAAGCGCAAAAAUCAAUUAAUAAUUUAAAUUAAUCUCGCAUGGUUCGCCACGGGUUGUUGGUACGUCCAGGUUGCAGCACCUACCGCCGCGAUGGCGAUGGGGUCUACAGCGUUGGUUGGUGGACCGGGCUCACGGUCGCGCUCGGCCCCUCGUCCCCUGGCCUGCUGCAAUUUGCGUGGCGCACCGCUGGUGAUCAGUGAAGUGGCGCUGCUCUUUUCUUUUCUUUUUUUUGUUUUCGUUUUCGCCCUCCACCGACAGAAAGAGGGAGGAGGGGCUCUGUCGUGCCCGCGUUUCUUUAUUCCCUCCAGUGUCGGCUCGCAUGUGUGCGUUUAGCCUCGCCUCAUGGGGGUGGUCAUCGCCCUCUGUCAUUACUUAAUCCCACUCGUAAAGCUUCGCACUGAUUGGUCGUUCCGGUUUUGCCCCUGGCGACUGGGACUCUCAGGCUGCAGCAGCUGACUGAACGCUCUUUCACAGUUCACAUGAACACGAUGGUGAUCUUCUGUGCCCAAUUCUGGCUUUACCUCCAGAACUUGUAAUGGUAUCUUUUAGAAGUAAUCUAGUGUCAACUAAAUAUAGGGAUUUGAAUCCUUUCCCACUAUCAAAAGCAUGAUAUUUGAAAUUUGUUUUAUAGUAACCGACAAUGGGAAUUCUUCCGUUGGAUUCAAACUUCUGUUUUCUCCAUGAUGUUUGUUUUAACGAAAGGAGCACGAGAGUGUGCCUAUUUCAUUGAUAAAGAUGAGGGUUACAUCCGGCUAAACCGGAAAGAAAAACGAAAGGAAAAAAAUUAGGAAAACAACAAAGGCGUUAUACUUCCUCCACGAUGUUUUGCACCACUCCAAUUUAUUAUGCAGUUAAUUGAACAAUAAAAGCGGCAAUAAGGAUCGACUUUUUCAUCAGCCUCUUGUGUAUCGCUGUUCCCGUGCAAAGUCCCUGAAGCGCUAGAUUUUCAGCUUUCACUUACCGUUAAUCACCUGUCCGGGCUGUCCCUGUCCCCAAGCGAACAUCACCAACAGCUGUGCAUCACCAGAGGGGCAUUCCGGUAAAUGUCCGCCGGAGGUUGAGGCGUCCACAUCUACUCCCCUCGCGGCAAGAAACGUCCCCGAUAUAACCCCACCCGCACCGAGGCGCGGAAGGAAGCAGCCGCUGCGGAGCAGAGUGUGUCGUGCUGGCUGCCGUCGCAGUAAAAACAGGGGAGGGGAGACGAGGACGCGGCCGCUGCCUGCCGCACAUGCUUUAAGUCUCACUCCCCACCGCCCCAGAUCUCCGCCUCUCUUCCCACCUCCCCACAUUCCCCGGCGCCCCCCUCCCCGCGCGGCCGCAACCGCCGCCGCUGUCAGGAGCGAGAUCGGCGGGGCAGACGGGCGCGGCGCUUGUAUCUGUCGGUGGGAGAGACCCGCGGUGUCGGUGAGGAGGCGGGUGGGAAGGAAGUGAAGGUAGGAAGGAUGGCAGCGGGCGGCAGAUCCGUAGCGUACUGCGCCGCCGUGCUGCUCGCGGCCGCGCUGCUCCUCUCCGCACCGACUGGCACAGGUUCGGCACCUCGGCUCCUCCUCUUCCUCUCUGUGUAUGUCGUCCUGCUUGUGCCGCGAAUUCGCGAGCUAGGUAGAUCCGGCGCCCGAUCGCCGUCGCGUCUGAUGCAACGGGAGCUCGGAGAGCUGCGAUGAUGAUUCCGCUCCCGGUGUCCGUUGCGCGCUGACAAAUGCGGCCCCGUUUGGCUGGUACGGUCAGUGUCGGUGGCUCCAGUGCAGUGUCGGUGUCUUCUAAUUUUGAUCCCACCGUUCUCCAAUUCAGCUCGAUCCUUCGAGCUUUCUCGGUUGCUCCAAUUAUGAUUCGAAAUUAAGUUGGCUUAGCUUCUCGGGAUCGGGAGAGUAGCACACAUGGAGAUGGAGCUGCCCUCUCAGGCUAACCACUUAACCAGGGCCACUGUCAGCUGAAUCUUGUCCUGAGCUGCUCCAUACUGAGCACCUUGAUGAUAGAUCUGUUGAAGAAGUGAUCAAAUUAGUCAAGAUCUUAGUUAAUUCUAGUUCACUUUAAAGGGAUCCAGUGGCAAACUUAGGUGUGUGGAUCUUCCAACUUGGAAUGGGAUGUAACAUAGACUUCAUCUAUUGUGCCAAUUCAUUGUUCUUGCUUCUGUAAUUGGGAUCUGUGUUUGAUGUGGACCCUUUGUUGCUCCUGCAGAGGCUUAUGAUUCCUUGGAUCCAAAUGGCAACAUCACUAUAAAAUGGGAUAUUAUGCAGUGGACUCCUGAUGGAUAUGUCGUAAGUAGCAUGCCCACUCCAACAGCUGCAUCUCUUUCAUCUUCAACCUUGUAGGACCUUAUAUAUUCUAUUGAAUGUUCCGGUUUGACCUGUACAAUAUAUGUAAAAUGGCCAAUGGCUAGAGUAGAAAGCUACAUCACAGAUAACAAGAAUAACAUGCAAAAUUUAUGUCAGCAGCAUGCUACGCAUACCCAAUUCAUGAUUUCCCAUAAAAUCUCUCCUGCAGGCUGUUGUCACAAUGUUCAACUACCAACAAUUCCGGCACAUUGGGGCACCUGGGUGGCAGCUUGGGUGGACAUGGGCAAAGAAGGAGGUCAUAUGGUCGAUGGUUGGGGCACAGACUACCGAACAGGGUGACUGUUCGAAGUUUAAGGGCAACACUCCCCACUGCUGCAAAAAAGAUCCCACGAUCGUCGAUUUACUUCCAGGCACUCCAUACAACAUGCAGAUUGCCAAUUGCUGCAAAGCAGGAGUUAUAAAUACAUUUAACCAGGACCCGGCAAAUGCUGCUGCCUCCUUCCAGAUUAGUGUAGGUCUUGCUGGGACUACCAAUAAGACUGUUAAGGUGCCGAAGAACUUCACUCUUAAGACUCCAGGUCCUGGGUACACAUGUGGGCGUGCCAUUGUUGGCAGGCCGACAAAGUUUUUCACCUCGGAUGGGCGCAGGGCAACCCAAGCUCUUAGUAAGUUUCUCAUCUAUUGGACUCUACAUUUUACUUGCUAUCAGUUGCUUGUGUACUUUGUGGAAAUGAGGUACAUCUAAAUCAUCGUAUUGUUCAGCGUGUUCCUAUUCCUUAAUCAGAAUUUCAGGUUACGUUACUUGCCAGAUUAGUUUUUUUCUCGAACAUGCAGGAGAGCUGCGUAUCUAUAUAUUAAGAAGUACUUGCCAGAUUAGUAAAGAAAUGAAAACGUUUUAACAGGAGGGAUUUAUUCUCAAAGAAGGAAUGCUAACUGAUAUCUUUUGACAAUAAGCUGCUGCUAGGCCCAAUAAAAUGUAGUCUUUUUUUUUGUUCUUCACAAAAUAAUAAAUUAAAAUUGCAGAUAGUUGUAGGAAAGUUUCCGAUUCCAUACAAGUUGCUGUUCUGCCAAAAUUUUAUUGUAGAGGUUUUUAUUUCACUUGAUGGUUCUUAAUAAAGACAUUCUCUAUCUGCAGUGACAUGGAAUGUGACUUGCACAUAUUCCCAAUUUCUUGCUCAAAAGACUCCAUCCUGCUGUGUCUCUCUUUCAUCAUUUUACAAUGACACAAUUGUGAACUGCCCAACAUGCUCUUGUGGCUGCCAAAAUCCAAAUGGGUCAAACUGUGUGAAGUGAGUUUACCUACUUUUUACUCUUAAUACACUUCAUACUAAGGUUCUAUUUUGUCUUUAUAAAUGUCUAAUGAGUAUGGUUUCAUUUUCACAGUGAGGAUUCACCUAAUCUACAAUCUGCAAUUGAUGGCCCUGGAAAAUGGACUGGUCAGCCUCUUGUACAAUGCACUUCCCACAUGUGCCCGAUAAGAAUCCAUUGGCAUGUGAAGCUCAACUACAAGGAAUACUGGAGAGUGAAAAUCACUAUCACCAACUUCAACUUCCGCAUGAAUUACACGCAGUGGAACUUAGUCGCUCAGCAUCCAAACUUUGAUAAUAUCACUCAGCUGUUCAGCUUCAACUACAAACCACUUACCCCAUAUGGCAGUGGCAUAAGUAAGAAACUUGUCUUCUUUUCAAAAAAAGAAAUCAAAAUAAUCUCCCUCCCUCCCCUGAUGUUGUUUGCUUGUCCCAUUUUCAGAUGAUACGGCUAUGUUCUGGGGUGUAAAAUUCUACAAUGAUUUGCUGAUGCAAGCUGGUAAACUUGGGAAUGUGCAAUCAGAACUACUUCUCCGCAAGGACUCCCAGACUUUCACCUUCGAAAAGGGAUGGGCCUUCCCACGCCGAGUGUACUUCAAUGGUGACAACUGUGUCAUGCCAUCUCCUGAAAACUAUCCAUGGUUGCCCAACGCAAGCCCUCUAACAAAACAACCGCUGACCCUCCCACUUUUAGUAUUCUGGGUUGUGUUGGCUACUCUGUUGGCAUAUGCAUGAUGAGUGGGAUCAAGAGGUUUAGUGAGCUUCAAGUUGAUGUCAGAUUCCAUGAGGUGCACUGCAACGGGUCAUUUGUUCAUUCAAUUCCAUGGUUGCACAGAAGAGAUGACACCACGCUGAGAAAAAAAGUUUAUGUGUGUGUGUUUUUGUAAGUUAAAGGGCCGAAAUGUAUUUCUUGUUUCGUAUAUACUGGCCCCACAACACUUAGUUACUGCAAACUAGGUAAUUACAGUUGCACCUUUUGUAUUUUAUAGCAAACUCAGAAUUUUUCAUUGGAUUAUAUGACCUCUUGUAGUAAAUGCGCGGUUUUCGUUUUGUAAGAUUUGUUGAACAGAAAAGACAAUGAUGAUUGAGAUCACUAAGUUCUGGCAUCUUAAUUCAUUCCUGCUGCUCACUGAGCUUUUUGAGCUAAAUAGAUAACAUCUACUAAUGGUCAUUUUCACUGAACCAAAAGAGCAAGAACACAGAACAAGAAUAAUUGCAACACUGGGUUUAUUUACUACAGAAACUGCAAACCGCAAUCAUGAAUUGGCGCUCAUGUUAAUUUGCAGCAUCAAUUAAGAUGAUCUAUGACUGUGAAUCGUAAAAUGACCUAUCAAUAAAAGGAUGAUGUAAAUUCUAGUUGGCCUGGGAACUCCUAGGAGCCUGCUUAGUUGCUGUGCCUUGUCACAUACCAAAUGCUUAGGAAGCAGUUCUGAGCCGCUGAGAAGAAUAGCAAAAGGAUAGUUUGCUGAUAGUUGUGGCUUGUGGGCUACUGCCUAGUUGAAGAAUGGCCUGACAGGACAGGUGCUAUAUAAUUGUGUACACAACAUAUAUCCUUGAACGAAACUGGAUCACAGAUUUCUACCUAUGAUACUGCAGGCCUUGUUUAGUUCCCAAUUUGGGAGUGGCAAAAUUAGCAUUUUGCCAUAAAUGCGCAACUGUAGCAUUUCGUUUGUAUUUAUGAAUUAUUGUCCAAACAUUGACUAAUUAGGCUCAAAAGAUUCGUCUCGCAAAGUACAACAAAACUGUGCAAUUAGUUUUUGAUUUCAUCUACAUUUAGUACUCCAUGCAUGUACCGCAAGUUUGAUGUGAUGGGGAAUCUUUUUUUUGCAUAGUGCCAAAGUUGGGAUUUUGGAGGGAAGUAAACAAGGGCUGAAGUUCUAACCAGGAGCUGGAAGCAACGGAAGUACAAAACUGCAGAUUCAAUAAUAGAUCUAACCAGAGCAAAGAGCAACACUCAAAAUUAUAACAGAACCACAACAAUGAAAUAUUUUAAUACCUGCAAAAUACAUCUCAUAAUCUUAUGAGCAACAAACGAAUUCAUCGAAACAACUCACUUUAUAUUCGAUGCAGUUGGAUUGCUCUGAACCCACUCUGAAGAAACAUGGCCUUCUGUGAAGGAAACCAAAGCUUUUGGCUUGUGCCCAGCCUCAUCGUGCUAGUGCUCUGAAGCCUCAGAGAGUCAGAGAUCAGAGGAGGGCAUAUGCCACCAUGACCUGGUAUAUAUAUCCAGGAGAGACCAUAGAUGCAGUGCAGUCGAAGGAUGGGCUGAUGGUUCGGCCGUAGCUUUUGGUUUGUUGGCUAGUUGCGGUUCAAAGCAAACCCUGGCUUCUCAUCACCCUCACCUUCCACACGUUGGUUUUUGC